rnacentral:tRNA from 3 species
UAUUAAAGUAGCUCAGAGGUAGAGCAACGGCUCAGUGCCGUGUGCGAAGGUUCGAAUCCUUCCUUAAUAA